CGUGGAGUUUGGCUAGGCAAUCCGGCUCGGAUCCCGCAGAAAAGGCAUGCAACACAGGCAGCGGCACACGGUACAGCCGGAGGAGACACAGAGGCGAGAUCCCGUGGCGGAUCAGCGUCUGCCUGUCUGAACCGGUAACGCAUCCCCCCCAAAGUGUCCCUACUCCGACGAUCUAUCCGUCGAGCCUCCUCACCGGUCACCGCGGCACUCGCAGCAGCGCCGGAGGAGGAGGAUGGGGCGGCCGCCGAGCAGCGGGGGGCCCGCGUUCCGGUUCACGCACGCGGAGGUGGCGGAGAUGGAGGAGCACCUCCGCCACCUCAACAACGCCAUCCCGCAGCGCAACGUCAUCCAGGGCCUCGCCGAGAAGUUCACCGCCUCCGCCGCCCGCGCCGGCAAGAUCCCCGUCCAGUACAAGCAGGUCUGGAACUGGUUCCAGAACCGGAGGUACUCGCAGCGGGCCAGGACCCCCAGGGGCGCGCCGCCGCCGCAGGGGAAGAUGCUGCCCACGGGGGCCGAGGAACACCACCCGGCCUCCUUCAGGGCUCAGGGGUCGUCCUCUUCGUACCCCGGAUCCCACUCAGGAAAGAGUGCUUCGGAUGGUGGCCAGGCCGAGUUUGAAGCAAAGUCAGCUAGAGAUGGCGCGUGGUACGAUGUUGCUGCCUUUCUGUCCCACAGGCUCUUUGAAACAGGGGAUCCGGAAGUAAAAGUUCGAUUUUCUGGAUUUGGGCCCGAGGAGGAUGAAUGGAUUAAUGUUCGUAAAUGUGUGAGGCUGCGUUCUCUUCCAUGUGAAGCUGCAGAAUGUGUUGCUGUGCUUCCUGGGGAUCUCAUUCUUUGUUUUCAGGAAGGCAAAGAGCAGGCCCUCUAUUUUGACGCUCGUGUUCUUGAUGCUCAAAGGCGCAGGCAUGAUGUAAGAGGGUGCCGCUGCAGGUUUCUUGUUCGUUAUGAUCAUGAUCACUCUGAGGAGAUUGUUCCUCUGAGGAAGGUAUGCCGUCGACCAGAAACUGAUUUCAGGCUCCAGAUCUUGCACGCAUCUAGAGCGGCGGCAUCUGCAGAUGCUCAGAAUGUUAGCCCAGUUGAGCAGAAACCCCAAAAGGCACACAAGAUGAUGGAUGUGAACACUGCCGAGGUGACCGUGGUCCGCAACCCAGAUCAAGGAGGGCCAUCUGACAAGCCGGCUGCUCCCUUGCCAGCUGCGCCUGCUGGCACCCACGGUGAUUCAGUUUCAGAUGUGCAGAUGGGGAGCGUGGAGGUUAUUCCAAAAGUUGAAGCCGCAAAUGAAGCACAUGACGACAAGAUGAACGUGGGAGCAUAGUUGUUUCGCUUCCCUGUGCGCUCCGUUGUGAACUUAUUAAGUCCAAAAAAAUGUUUGCUUGGGAACUUCCGAUCAAGGAAGGAUGGUCGCCCGGUAACUGUAAUGUACCGAUGUCGGCUUGUUUGCUGGUGUGUGUACAAAGUGUUGGAUUGUCGAUAUCUAUAUAGCUAUAUCGUGAGACAAAUGUUCACACU
rnacentral:rRNA from 1 species